CUCACUCUGGAAUUAUUGAACAAACUGUUUUUAUUGUACUUUGAAAUAUCCCCGUUCCCGUUCUGGGCGGUUUGGAUGCGUUUACCAUAAAUAUCAGUAUAUAGGUGCAGUAGAAUUUCUGUGUCGGCUGAUUUGACCGAAGACACGCGAGUGUCGGCUGGCUUGACCGCAGUGACCCACCACAGAUGCGCACACAUGGCACGCAGCUUUCUAUGAAAACACUGCGACCUCACUACAAAAGUACAGGCACACAGAAAACUGUGCUGCACUGAUGUCUGUGUUGGGACCUCAGCUGUAUGAGACCUCGCUUGGAGGAGGGAGAGGACAACCCAAGUUGUUAAAGUAUGGACUUCGGAGAGCCACAGGAUGCUACCUAUGAUCCUGAUGACUCGAUCACAGUCUUGACUGACUGUUGCAGCCUUUUGGUGAAAUCUUUGUCGUUCAUAAGACACCCACAUAUAUUGUCUAUGAAAACUACCUCCUGGAGCUGCUUGAGGUGUGUCCUGUGUGUCGGCGGGGGACAGAUGUAAUAUAUAAGAAGGGCGAGUGCACAGCAAAGCCGGUGAAAGCAGAUGCAACCUUCCAUUACGUGGACAAGCAGGAAGUUAUAGCCAGCUAUGUGAGCAUCAGGGAACACUCUGCGUAUCUGGAGAACUGAGCAGCAGGGCAGGACCACCCUGAUUCUCCGGCCCAGAGGGCCUCAACAACAGCUAACAAAGCUUCUGUACGCCAAAUACCUGUAACGGCUGAGCAAAGUUCACAUUAUAUUUAGAGAAUAAAAGGUGACACACAAAUAUAAAUUGUUCCUCUGUUUACAGUAUGGCUACUGAUGGCACAAACUGAUUUUUGUAAUCAAUGUUUUUAUUAUACUUGGUAUUUUUUGUAUUUAAUUACAUCUGUCCCAGUCAGUACAUUUAAUAAGUGUUUAAAAAACUCUGUGGCAUUCUUUCUAGCAAU